AGUCACUAAAGAAGCGUGAGAUGUGUUAGAACAGAUUGGUUAAGACCUGUUAAGUUCCUCAUCAUUUACAUAAUAUUACUACUUACUUAUAUGGCCCUUAAAGGUCUAGCUCCUGCAUACAUAACUAGUCUUAUAUCACGCUACAAUCCAACACACUCCCCAAGGUCGCAAAACUCUGGACUCUUGGUAGUACCUAGGUUAGCAAAGUCCACUAAAGGAGGUAGAGCUUUUUCGCAUUUGGCUCCCAAACUCUGGAACAGUCUUCCUGAUAAUAUUCGGGGUUCAGACACACUCUCUCUGUUUAAAUCUAGAUGAAAGACUCAUCUCUUUAGCCAAGCAUUCACAUAAUGUAUCUCAUAACCUUGAACUUCAGCUGUAUCUGAGCAAAUGCACAUUUUCAUUCUUUUGCUUGGGUUGAACAGACCAUCUUUGCUUGGUUGGAACAGCAGCUAGGCUAAUUCAAUCUCUAUUUGCUCCUCUGUUUCUGCCACGGGAUUUGCAUCCCAAGGUACCUAGGAAUUACAGAAGCUUCAGUCUGGAUCCAACCCUUACGAAGAUCUGAAAUGACCAAACACCUGAGAAUAGAUGAUUGCCAACCCCCCAGAAGACCUCAGUUGAUGCUAACCCUGGAACAACAUUUAAAACUACCAAAUUUUGAUUAAUCGCAAUCACAACAUAUAAUAAUCGCAGUUAAUAGCAUUCACUGUCUCUUGAUUACAUGUAAUUUGUAACUAACUGCACAUUUCUGCCAUAGUCACCACUAAUAACCUACUCCUAAAUAUAAUGUAGAAAAUGUUCUGCAAAGCUGCUUUGCAACGAUUUGUAUUGUGAAAGGUGCUAGACAAAUAAACUUGAAUUGGUUAUGUGGGAAUCUGCAGACCUUUUCACAAGAGGUUGGACACGUGUAGGAUUUUGUAAAUCCCAAGUGUUCUGUCGAGUAAUACAGAGCCCCUUAGGCAGGGGUCUCCAAACUCGGCCCUGGGUUAAGCUUCAACUUGCCUGCCUGGAAGUUUCUAGAAUGCCUGGUAAGACCUUGAUUAGCUGGUUCAGGUGUGUUUAAUUAGGGUUGGAGCUAAACUCUGCAGGACACUGGCCUUCCAGGGCCAAGUUUGGAGUCCCCUUCCCUAAAGCAACCCCUCAGGCCAUCGAAGGCCACUGUCCUGCAGAGUUUAGCCCCAACCCUAAUCAAAUACACCUGCCUUUACAUUUCAAGUAAACACUUUGGUUAGGGUUUUCAGUUUGUGGUUUGGUUUGGUUAGGGUUGGAGCUAAACUCUGUAGGCCAGAUUUGCCUACCAAUUUACUAAAGUGACAAGGAGAUGGAUAAGAUAGGAGAUUAGAGAUUUUUGGUUCCCCUGAUAAACUUCGAGGUCACUCAACAAAACUUUUGCACUUCCUUGAAAUUGAUUUUUGUGAGGGAAUGCAUAAGCAUUGAAAUGCAGUUUUUCCUCCAAUUUCAAUUUCAUUUUUUUUUUAUAAUAUCCCUUUAAGGUCUUUGCUGGGUUCUUUACAGUUCUGGUGGUGCUUUUACCUGGAGGAAAUAGAUGUGAUCAUCAGUAUGUGAAAGCUGCUCCACCUCGGACUGCUUUCUCUUCAACUUUGAGAUCUCCUGUUCCAGACCUUCCAAAUGUCCCUGAAUCCAGUUCAACUCUGUGGUCAUCUGACUUUGGACCAGCGUAAUCAUCUCAGUGUGGCUUCUCCGUAUAAAGCUGAGCAGUUCGGUGAAGAUCCUGUCACCUUCUUCCUCUGUGGCUUGAGUCAGGUUCUCAGCUGAGACCAUGUCAUGUCCUUUGUGGUUGGUGUCCAGCAUGCAGAGGCAGCAGAUACACUGGCGGUCAGUGCGGCAGUAAACCUCCAGGAGCUUAUGAUGUUGGGGGCACGUCUUUUUUUGGAGUUCUCCAGUGACGUCCACCAAGUCACACUCCACGUCCUCCGCUUGCUCCGUCUGAAGUCCUGUCCUCUCCAGUGCCUCUGCAACACAAGCAACAGAUUUGUCUGGAUCUGAUACAGAAGCAUCAGAAUCAUCCAGAUCUGCACUAAGAGCGUUGUAUUCUUCUGGAUCUGCAGCUGGAGCCUCAGAUUCUUCCAGAUCUGCAAAUGGAGCCCUGGUUUCACUCAUAUCUGCAGCUGGAGCCUCAGAUUCUUCCAGAUCUGUCUCACAUGAGGAAUUCUGUUUACACCGAGGGCAGCUGUUUUCCUGCAGGUCCUGGAGGCAAACCGAGCACACACAGCGUGAGUUCUGUUCAUCUGCCAUUUGCAUGGAGAACAAGGAGCUCGGUGUUAAAGGGACUCUACAAACAGUUUAGUUUCAUUUCUUUCUUUUCCUCGUGGGUGUUUGUGGGCGGGACUCUCUUAUGUGUGUGUGUGGCCACAGAUAAAGAGACAGAACUGAAGCUUGCUCUUACGUGCAACCUAAACAGAGAGACCAACGGUUGUUUGCCAAGUUGCUGUUGCUUUUUGUUAAGCAAAAUUAUACUAAACUAACAAGCUAAUGAAUUCAUAUUCUGAGUGUACAGGAGAGACACUACCAUCAUGCCUCUUGUCCUUUUGAAAGGACCAUUAUUGUGUAUUUGCACACAUAACAAAAGUGACAUGUACAUCUUAAAUUGUUGUGUUGUUUUGUUUUUGCUCUCUCACUGCAUUCUCUUGCAUUACGUGUGUUAGGUUAGGUUUAUAUAUGUGGGCAGAGCCCAGGUGCAGUGCAUUUGUCAAACAAAAAGUUGCAGAACUUGUCAAGAGGGACAACAAAACAGUAGGAAAAGCUUUUAAAUACCUUUAAUAAUUUGUAUGGGUCUACCCUUAAUUAUAAAGCCAAAGAUAUGAACUAAAAGAUUGUCCU